UGGGUUACAGAUCCACCGAAGUGGGUUGCCUUAACCGAUGUGUUUGCUAACAAGGAAAAGCCCGAAGGCUGUUCCCGUCCCUGUCAGGGGAGAUGCCAACCAUCUCUCCUUUCUACGAACACAGCCAACAGCAGGAACAAACAAUAUAUAAACCGUAUUAUAACCUUUUAGGUAUCCGAUGUGGGACAACAAAGGCAUUCAUUUACAUUCCAUUCACCUCACCUCCCACACCGUCGCUGCCACCGCUAGAGGACGAAGAUGAUGAAUUCUCUCCCGUUGGAUCCCUUGACUUACACGUGGAUCUUCCUCAGCACUCCUAUCAACCCCACCGAUGACCUUCGCCUCUCUCACCGAUGAUCUUCCUCAAGCCUCUACUAUUCCUAGAGUUAAUUCUUGGCACUGUGGACUUUGUUGUUGGAGUAGGAUUGUGCCUGUUCGCCUCAUGGGUGAGGAUUAGGCAUUGAAUCCUAAACAAUAUUGGUCUUGUGACAUUCUCAACAUUGCUGCUCUUCUUAGUGGACUGCUGUGCUUGGAAAAUACUCAGAUUACCCGUGGCACCAUUCUUUAUGAUGCGCACCUUUCUCAUAUCUGCAGUUGCAGUGUCCUGCAAUGGCUAUACAGUAUACUAGGAUUUUCUUCUGUGGAAGUUUUGGGAGCAUCUGUAGCAACUCUUGCAUUUGCCACAAUUGGAUUUCUUGAUGAUUUAGUAACCCUCAAGAAUAACAAGUUAACAACCUUGGUUUAUCUGCUUGGUUUAGAAUUCUCUUGGAGGUGAGUGGUUAUACAUCUCCCACUGCUUUCAACCUUUUCUUAAAUCUUAUUGUUAAAGGCAUUAUCUUUUUCAACUCUGAGGAUUAAUCUUUAGUUUUGUAUUACACAGGUAGCUGUAGGGAUAUGGUUCUUUUGGUUGAACUUAAUGCACGAGUGCACUUUUUAUUUUUUAUUUUUAUGUUAUCCUUUGGUGGUCAGUCAUAUAUUUCAUUCUGUAGCCAUGACCUUCUUAACUGCUUCUAUCCUUAUGGAAACUUGGGAUCUGUAGAUGAACUAUCUAAUGCAACUUGAAUGCGUCUAAAUGUCUAAUCCAAUUCGAUCCACUCCACUAAUAGUAGAUUGGAUGCGGACCAAAUGACGAAUUUGAAGUUUUAACAUGAAGCAGUGUUCAUUUAUA